rnacentral:misc_RNA from 1 species
GAAAUGCGAUAAGUAAUGUGAAUUGCAGAAUUCAGUGAAUCAUCGAAUCUUUGAACGCACAUUGCGCCCGCCAGUACUCUGGCGGGCAUGCCUGUUCGAGCGUCAUUUCAACCAUCAAGCCCCCGGCUUGUGUUGGGGACCUGCGGCUGCCCGCAGGCCCUGAAAAACAGUGGCGGGCUCGCUGUCACACCGAGCGUAGUAGCAUACAUUCUCGCUCAGGGCGUGCUGCGGGUUCCGGCCGUUAAACGACCAUCAUAACCCAAGGUUGACCUCGGAUCAGGUAGGAAGACCCGCUGAACUUAAGC